rnacentral:hammerhead_ribozyme from 1 species
AUCCAACUGACGAGUCCAAAAUGGGACGAAACGCGCAUCCUGGAU